GAGUUUGAUCUUGGCUCAGAUUGAACGCUGGCGGCAUGCCUUACACAUGCAAGUCGAACGGCAGCACGGGAGCUUGCUCCUGGUGGCGAGUGGCGAACGGGUGAGUAAUGCAUCGGAACGUAUCCUGGAGUGGGGGAUAACGUAGCGAAAGUUACGCUAAUACCGCAUAUUCUGUGAGCAGGAAAGCGGGGGACCUUCGGGCCUCGCGCUCUUGGAGCGGCCGAUGUCGGAUUAGCUAGUUGGUGAGGUAAAGGCUCACCAAGGCGACGAUCCGUAGCAGGUCUGAGAGGAUGAUCUGCCACACUGGAACUGAGACACGGUCCAGACUCCGUACGGAGGCAGCAGUGGGAAUUUGGACAAUGGGGGCAACCUGAUCCAGCCAUGCCGCGUGAGUGAAGAAGGCC
rnacentral:rRNA from 1 species